rnacentral:lncRNA from 1 species
UACGCUAUUGGAACUAUCUACAAACCAAAUUUCAUAAUUUUUUGACUUCGUUUGUCUAGUGAACGAGUAGCCUCAAAAUGGACGGCUGAAAAUAAAAAUCUCAUAAAAAACAAUGAUAAAGGACUCAAAUUUCAAAUCGGAAGUGUUAAUCUUGCUAUUGACGUUAAGUAGAAUUUUUUAUUAAAUUUUCAUGUAAUUUGGAUACUUCUACACCGUUGAACUUAAAACCGUGCCGCAUCGG